AUGAACGCUGGCGGCAGGCCUAACACAUGCAAGUCGAACGGUAACAGGAAGCAGCUUGCUGCUUUUCUGACGAGUGGCGGACGGGUGAGUAAUGUCUGGGAAACUGCCUGAUGGAGGGGGAUAACUACUGGAAACGGUAGCUAAUACCGCAUAACGUCGCAAGACCAAAGAGGGGGACCUUAGGGCCUCUUGCCAUCGGAUGUGCCCAGAUGGGAUUAGCUAGUAGGUGGGGUAACGGCUCACCUAGGCGACGAUCCCUAGCUGGUCUGAGAGGAUGACCAGCCACACUGGAACUGAGACACGGUCCAGACUCCUACGGGAGGCAGCAGUGGGGAAUAUUGCACAAUGGGCGCAAGCCUGAUGCAGCCAUGCCGCGUGUAUGAAGAAGGCCUUCGGGUUGUAAAGUACUUUCAGCGGGGAGGAAGGGAGUAAAGUUAAUACCUUUGCUCAUUGACGUUACCCGCAGAAGAAGCACCGGCUAACUCCGUG
rnacentral:rRNA from 1 species